rnacentral:rRNA from 1 species
GUGCUUGGGCGAGAGUAGUACUAGGAUGGGGGACCUCCUGGGAAGUCCUCGUGUUUCGCCCC